rnacentral:rRNA from 1 species
AAAGGUGCGAGCGUUAAUCGGAAUUACUGGGCGUAAAGCGCGCGUAGGUGGUGUGUUAAGUCGGAUGUGAAAGCCCAGGGCUCAACCUUGGAAUUGCAUCCGAUACUGGCACGCUAGAGUGCAGUAGAGGGAGGUGGAAUUUCCGGUGUAGCGGUGAAAUGCGUAGAGAUCGGAAGGAACACCAGUGGCGAAGGCGGCCUCCUGGACUGACACUGACACUGAGGUGCGAAAGCGUGGGGAGCAAACAGGA